rnacentral:rRNA from 1 species
GACGAACGCUGGCGGCGUGCUUAACACAUGCAAGUCGAACGAAGAGCGCUGGUCGCUUGCUUCUCUGAAUCUUAGUGGCGAGCGAGCGAGUAACGCGUAAUCAACCUGCCCUCCAGAGGGGGACAAAAGUUGGAUACUACUGCUAAUACAGCAUACGAUCUACUCUCGGUAUGGAGGCUAGAUGAAAGGUGGCCGCUACAUGUAAGCUAUAACUGGAGGAGGGGACAGCGUCUGAUUAGCUAGAUGGUGGGGUACAGGCCCACUCAGACGAUGAACAGUAGCCGGCCAGAGAGGAUGAACUGCCAAGCUGGGACUGGAACACGGCCCAGAAUCCUACGGGAGGCAGCCGGGGGGGAUCUUCCGGAAAGGAAGAAAGGCUGAAUGAGGAACGCCGCGUGAGAGAUGGCUGCCGUCGGGUUGUAAAACUGUUUUAGUCCGGACGAAAGGCAUUCUCGCUAAUAGUGGGAGGGAAUGACGGUACCGGAAGAAUAAGCCCCGGCUAACUACGUG